AAAUACACAUACGGACUUCGGCUACACCAUCAAAGCUUGGAGAAGCAAUAAGAAAC
rnacentral:sRNA from 1 species